GUGGAAGUACCUCUACUCAGAGUGAUAGAGAAAACUAUGGCUCUGCUUUUACUGAAGGAAUGGCUACCGGAGCGGGCAGCUUUAUGAAUAUAAGGUGAAAAGGAUGUAUGGAGAAGUUUUGGGAGAGUCAGACAGUCCACGGAACUUGCAAUGACUUAGCAAUGAUCUAUGCCAGACGUACAACCCCUGCUGUCAUUGGUGAUACCACUGCUUGAAAAUAUGUCAACGUCCUGUAGAUCAAGUAAGGUUCCAGUCGAAGUCCUCCUGAAGAAUUUGUUGGAUUUCUGCCAGUUUUUGAUAUUGAACUUUAGUGCCUUUUGAGACUCUUGGCUUUUUAAUGGCACGCCUCAUUCUACCCAAAUGGAAGGAUUGGAGUGUGUUUAUAUUGUAUAUGUUUAUAGGCUUGCUAAUAUUUGCUUAGGCUUUCACAUUGUUUUCUGAGAUACUACUCAAUGAUGUCAUUGUGACUCAUUGUAUCACACUUCAAGACGCGUAUCUUUUACUCAAUUAGUGUAUGCACUGUGAAUCCAAACAUGAGAAUUCUAAGAUUAUAGCAACUGCAAAGUUACUGCAAGGACAAUGUUAGUUUUGUAAAAACCUUAAGUGACAAGCACAAGAUGCGAUAGUGCUGGGAGCUUUUCUCUUGUAACAUUUUAAUGCAUUUGUAAUGGUGACGGUAAGCAGAUACUACAUUUUCAUCUCAUAUGUUAGUAUUAACAUGAACUUAAAAGCAUGCAAGGUUUUUUUGUGUGAAGUGGUUAACUCAAAUAUUGGUAUAAUAUAGAUCAAGGUUAUUAAUGUUGAUCACCUAUGGUGCAAGUUAAUCAUUUUUUUCCCUCUGCAUAUAAACACAAUGUGGAAGCAAAAUAUUGGAGAUCAAACUGUUUUAUAUUUACACUUACAUAAAGAGUUACAACAUGUUUUACGUUAAUAUGCAUAUUGAUUAAUGUAAGAUACUUUGAUGUUUUGAUAUGAAUGUGUUAACUUUUAUGUACCUGUAUUCAUGUGGAGUAUUGUGUGUAAUAUCACAAAGUGAUUUUUCUCUCAGAAUAAACAUUUUAAUUUA